ACGAACGCUGGCGGUGUGCUUCACACAUGCAAGUCGAACGGGGUAGCAAUACCCAGUGGCGGACGGGUGAGUAACACGUGGGAAUCUACCAUUAGCUGGGGGAUAGCAGGCCGAAAGGCCUAUUAAUACCGCAUAUGUAUGUGCUUCGACAGAGGCGUAUAUGACAGGAGUAAUCCGUCUGAUGAUGAGCCCGCGCCCGAUUAGCUAGUUGGUAGGGUAAAAGCCUACCAAGGCGACGAUCGGUAGGUGGUCUGAGAGGAUGAUCACCCACAAUGGGACGGAGACACGGCCCAUACUCCUACGGGAGGCAGCAGUGGGGAAUGUUGUGCAAUGGGCGAAAGCCUGACACAGCGACACCGCGUGAGCGAAGAAG
rnacentral:rRNA from 1 species